rnacentral:misc_RNA from 1 species
AGGUGGUUAUAAGAGACAGGUGAGUCAUCGAAUCUUUGAACGCACAUUGCGCCCGGUGGUAUUCCGCCGGGCAUGCCUGUUCGAGCGUCAUUUAAACCAAUCCAGCCUUGUGCUUGGGUCUUGGGCCUUCGCUUUAGGGCGGGCCUCAAAAUCAGUGGCGGUGCCUUCUGGCUCUAAGCGUAGUAAUACUUCUCGCUAUAGACGUCCGGUGGUGUCUUGCCAGCAACCCCUAAUUUUUUAAGGUUGACCUCGGAUCAGGUAGGGAUACCCGCUGAACUUAAGCAUAUCAAUAAGCGGAGG